AUGAAGUACUCUGAAUGCAUUCUCCAUCUUGGCGAUAAGCAAUAUCCAUCGAUCAUUUUAGUGAAUGUAGUAGGAUCAGGCCUCUCACCAGUACGGGUAACCAAGUCAAAGAUGGUGUGUUCAUCAAUUACCUUUCCGUGGCCUAUGAUGAAUAUCCCUGUUCUUCAUUUUGGUAAUAAAUUCCUUGGCUUUCAUGGAAUUGCCAAGAUUCAAAUAACCCUCAACCAUGCACAUGUAAACUUCUGUGUCAAGUGGUACUCCCAUAUUAAUCAUCUCACUGAAUUUUUCCAUCGCAUCAUCCAUCCUGCCCAUCUUGCAAAACGCAGAUAUCACAGUUAA
rnacentral:rRNA from 1 species